GCCCAGGUGGCGGAAUUGGCAGACGCGCCAGAUUAAGGAUCUGGUGGGAGUAAAAUCCCGUGGAGGUUCGAGCCCUCUCCUGGGCAUCA
rnacentral:tRNA from 3 species